AUAUCAUCACUGCACCUUUCAACACCUCUCAGUACAAAAAGGCUUUUUUAUUCUUUAUUAAACAUGUGCAGCUCUAAAUGAAGCUUCUGAUGCUUUCUGUGACUUGUUCACCGGCCUGGUGAGAAGAGAUGCUGCUGCUCGAAGCUUUAACUCGCGGCUUGCUCUGCCCGCAGUGCUGCAGGUCUUGGUGCAGAGCGACAGACAGUCCGAACAGACUACCGUCUCCGCCAGACUUCACCAGCGGGAAUGCCGUGUCGAGGUUAAACGCCGCGCACACACCGACCCAUACGCUCAGCAACACAGACACACCUGUCGCCAUGGAAACCCACCUGAGAGGACAACAACAAAACAAAGACAUUACGGAGAAACCGGUCAACUGAUUUUCAUGAAACUUGAUGUUUUGGGGCGGAUCCAAAUCACGGGACGGAUACACGCAUUGUUUCUCCUUAAGCCCUCCUGGUUCAGUAUGGGUUCAAUUGUAUAUAGUACUUAUUUUAAAAUAUUUCAUAUAUAUAAUUAGAUUUUGCUGAGCUGACAUGUUGUCUCUCUCGCACACAUUUCAUUGUACUGUUGACCCUGUGUUA